rnacentral:rRNA from 1 species
AUUGAACGCUGGCGGCAGGCCUAACACAUGCAAGUCGAGCGUGCGGCGGACGGGUGAGUACUGUCUGGGAAACCGCCUGAUGGAGGGGGAUAACUACUGGAAACGGUAGCUACUACCGCAUUCCAUCAGAUUUGCCUCGACGGGAGUAGCUAGUAGGUGGGGUAACGGCUCACCUAGGCGACGAUCCCUACACUGUCUGAGGUGCUGACCAGCCACGCUGGACCGGAGACACGGCCCAGACUCCGACGGUAGGCAGCAGUGGGGAAUAUUGCACAAUGGGCGAAAGUCUGAUGCAGCCAUGCCGCGUGUGUGAAGAAGGUCUUCGGGUUGUAAAGCACUUUCAGCGGGGAGGCGUUACCCACAGAAUAAGCACCGGCUAACUACGUGCCAGCAGCCGCGGUAAUUC